rnacentral:rRNA from 1 species
UACGUAGGGGGCAAGCGUUGUCCGGAAUCAUUGGGCGUAAAGAGCGCGUAGGCGGCCCUGUAAGUCCGCUGUGAAAGUCAAGGGCUCAACCCUUGAAUGCCGGUGGAUACUGCAGGGCUAGAGUCCGGAAGAGGCGAGCGGAAUUCCUGGUGUAGCGGUGGAAUGCGCAGAUAUCAGGAGGAACACCGAUGGCGAAGGCAGGUCACUGGGCCGCAACUGACGCUGAGGAGCGAAAGCAUGGGGAGCGAACAGG